rnacentral:rRNA from 1 species
GAUGAACGCAGGCGGCGUGCCUAAUACAUGCAAGUCGAGCGAGCAGACGAGGAGCUUGCUCCUCUGACGUUAGCGGCGGACGGGUGAGUAACACGUGGAUAACCUACCUAUAAGACUGGGAUAACUUCGGGAAACCGGAGCUAAUACCGGAUAAUAUAUUGAACCGCAUGGUUCAAUAGUGAAAGACGGUUUUGCUGUCACUUAUAGAUGGAUCCGCGCCGCAUUAGCUAGUUGGUAAGGUAACGGCUUACCAAGGCAACGAUGCGUAGCCGACCUGAGAGGGUGAUCGGCCACACUGGAACUGAGACACGGUCCAGACUCCUACGGGAGGCAGCAGUAGGGAAUCUUCCGCAAUGGGCGAAAGCCUGACGGAGCAACGCCGCGUGAGUGAUGAAGGUCUUCGGAUCGUAAAACUCUGUUAUUAGGGAAGAACAAAUGUGUAAGUAACUAUGCACGUCUUGACGGUACCUAAUCAGAAAGCCACGGCUAACUACGUG